UAAAAAUUUAAAUUUAUUUUAUAUUAGAUUAGUAUUAGUUAUGUUCUUGAAAAUUAAAGAUUUUGGCGGUAUUUUAGUCUAUUCAGAGGAAUCUGCCCUGUAAUUGAUAUUCCACGAUUAGUUUUACUUAAAUUAAAUUAAUUUAUAUAUCGUCGUAAAAAAAUAUUUUAAAAGGAUAUUAAUAUUUAAAAUUUAAAAUUUUAAAAAAAAUCAGAUCAAGAUGUAGUUUAUAUUUAAGAAGAGGUGGAUUACAAUAAAUUUAUAUUUGUGAAUAUUAAUUUUAAAAAUUAGUUGAAAAUGGAUUUGAUAGUAAUUAUAUAAAUAUAUUUAUAAUGAUUAAAGCUCUAAAAUAUGC
rnacentral:rRNA from 1 species